UGAGUCCUUCUCACUCUUCUCCUCUCCCAUCACAAAAGGUAAAAGAACACUCUCUAGAUAAACGCAAGGAGAGAGACAGAGACAGAGAGUAGGUCAGGAAGAGGGCAAAAACUGGGAACACUCAUGUGAUAUCAAACUGUGAUGAGUCACAAGUGUAACUCUCUCUCUUGGGUUCCACUAGCAUCAUCCUCAGAUCUCCACAUGAGCAUAUACCAGUGCAAGAACGUCCUGUUCCCAGAAGGGCACCAGUAAGGAAGAGUGCAUAAAUAUUCUGGAGUCAUUUCCAAAGAAACAGGCUAAGAAGGGACUGAUCGAGUAAUUAUUUUUGCAUUCUUCAGAACUUUCUGGAUGUCACUUCAGAAGGCAGAAAUGGUUUCCGUUCAGCAAAUCCACACCAGCAAUCCUCUUACAGCAAAUUUCCAAGAAACAUGGUUGGAUAACAGUGCUGGACCUAAAAAAGGUGUUGGCCCACGAGUGCCUCUCUCUCCCUGCCUGAGCUCCCUGACCAGCAUGCGUGUGGCCUCCAGGUGUGUUGUCUACCCCCCAGGACCUGCCAAGCACGGUGGCUCAUGCCUGUAAUCCCAGCACUUUGGGAGGCCGAGGAGGGAAGAUCACGAGCUCAAGAUAUCAAGACCAUCCUGGCCAACAUGGUGAAACCCUGUCUCUACUAAAAAUACAAAAAUUAGCUGGGCGUGGUGGUGCAUGCCUGUAGUCCCAGCUACUCGGGAGGCUGAGGCAGCAGAAUCGCUUGAACCUGGGAGGUGCAGGUUGCAACACACUACUAACUCCAGCCUGGGCGACAGAGCAAGACUGUCUAAAAAAAAUAAAAAAAGAAAAACACAUGAGACAAAGUAGCAAAUGUAAAAAGUCACGUUUGUUCAUUUUUGCUUGCCAAGAUAAUUUCACAAAGCCGCUGACUCUGGGACGUGCAGAUCUCUGAAAAGACGCUUUGAAGACAAAAAAGGAUAGAUCACAAGACCCCCCCAUGUCUCUUGCCUGAAUCACUGUAUUCUUUAAAAGAUAAAUGACGCUAUUCCUUGCCUCUUCCUACACGAGAUAAUGUCUGAUAGGGUUAGUGAUUGUACCUCUGUAUUCUAUAACCUUUAUACCCAGACCUUCAUGUGAUUCUGCAUUAAUGUAACUUCUGAGCAAGUUUGAUGUGAUUUUGCAUGUACUGAGACCCCAGCACCUGUGUCUAAGUAGCGGGCUGAAACCCUGUGCUGGAGAAGUCUGAUAAAACCUCUCUAAAAUGCUGUUCCCAAGGUAUAGGCAUCGGUAAGAUAUUUGAAUGAAACUAACUUUAAUUCUUUAAAAGCUCGUUGUUUUUCCUUAGUCAACCAAUACAAACCUGAAGAUAAUUGCAAGGAAACAAAAAUCCAAACUGAAGGACAUCCUACAAAGUUACUGGCUUUACUCUUCAAAAGCACAAUCAUGAAAGAAAAAGAAAGGCUGAGGAACUGUUUCAAGUUCAAGGAAACUAAAAAGACAUGACGACUAACACAGUCUGUUAUUCUAAUUGUAUCCAGAAUCAAAAAAAGGAUAUUAUAA
rnacentral:lncRNA from 10 species